rnacentral:rRNA from 1 species
AUGAACGCUGGCGGCGUGCCUCAUACAUGCAAGUCGCGCGAACAGACGAGGAGCUUGCUCCUCUGACGUUAGCGGCGGACGGGUGAGUAACACGUGGAUAACCUACCUAUAAGACUGGGAUAACUUCGGGAAACCGGAGCUAAUACCGGAUAAUAUAUUGAACCGCAUGGUUCAAUAGUGAAAGACGGUUUUGCUGUCACUUAUAGAUGGAUCCGCGCCGCAUUAGCUAGUUGGUAAGGUAACGGCUUACCAAGGCGACGAUGCGUAGCCGACCUGAGAGGGUGAUCGGCCACACUGGAACUGAGACACGGUCCAGACUCCUACGGGAGGCAGCAGUAGGGAAUCUUCCGCAAUGGGCGAAAGCCUGACGGAGCAACGCCGCGUGAGUGAUGAAGGUCUUCGGAUCGUAAAACUCUGUUAUUAGGGAAGAACAAAUGUGUAAGUAACUAUGCACGUCUUGACGGUACCUAAUCAGAAAGCCACGGCUAACUACGUG